rnacentral:rRNA from 1 species
AGAGUUUGAUCAUGGCUCAGAUUGAACGCUGGCGGCAGGCCUAACACAUGCAAGUCGAACGGUAACAGGAAGCAGCUUGCUGCUUCGCUGACGAGUGGCGGACGGGUGAGUAAUGUCUGGGAAGCUGCCUGAUGGAGGGGGAUAACUACUGGAAACGGUAGCUAAUACCGCAUAAUGUCGCAAGACCAAAGAGGGGGACCUUCGGGCCUCUUGCCAUCGGAUGUGCCCAGAUGGGAUUAGCUUGUUGGUGGGGUAACGGCUCACCAAGGCGACGAUCCCUAGCUGGUCUGAGAGGAUGACCAGCCACACUGGAACUGAGACACGGUCCAGACUCCUACGGGAGGCAGCAGUGGGGAAUAUUGCACAAUGGGCGCAAGCCUGAUGCAGCCAUGCCGCGUGUAUGAAGAAGGCCUUCGGGUUGUAAAGUACUUUCAGCGGGGAGGAAGGGAGUAAAGUUAAUACCUUUGCUCAUUGACGUUACCCGCAGAAGAAGCACCGGCUAACUCCGUGCCAGCAGCCGCGGUAAUACGGAGGGUGCAAGCGUUAAUCGGAAUUACUGGGCGUAAAGCGCACGCAGGCGGUUUGUUAAGUCAGAUGUGAAAUCCCCGGGCUCAACCUGGGAACUGCAUCUGAUACUGGCAAGCUUGAGUCUCGUAGAGGGGGGUAGAAUUCCAGGUGUAGCGGUGAAAUGCGUAGAGAUCUGGAGGAAUACCGGUGGCGAAGGCGGCCCCCUGGACGAAGACUGACGCUCAGGUGCGAAAGCGUGGGGAGCAAACAGGAUUAGAUACCCUGGUAGUCCACGCCGUAAACGAUGUCGACUUGGAGGUUGUGCCCUUGAGGCGUGGCUUCCGGAGCUAACGCGUUAAGUCGGCCGCCUGGGGAGUACGGCCGCAAGGUUAAAACUCAAAUGAAUUGACGGGGGCCCGCACAAGCGGUGGAGCAUGUGGUUUAAUUCGAUGCAACGCGAAGAACCUUACCUGGUCUUGACAUCCACGGAAGUUUUCAGAGAUGAGAAUGUGCCUUCGGGAACCGUGAGACAGGUGCUGCAUGGCUGUCGUCAGCUCGUGUUGUGAAAUGUUGGGUUAAGUCCCGCAACGAGCGCAACCCUUAUCCUUUGUUGCCAGCGGUCCGGCCGGGAACUCAAAGGAGACUGCCAGUGAUAAACUGGAGGAAGGUGGGGAUGACGUCAAGUCAUCAUGGCCCUUACGACCAGGGCUACACACGUGCUACAAUGGCGCAUACAAAGAGAAGCGACCUCGCGAGAGCAAGCGGACCUCAUAAAGUGCGUCGUAGUCCGGAUUGGAGUCUGCAACUCGACUCCAUGAAGUCGGAAUCGCUAGUAAUCGUGGAUCAGAAUGCCACGGUGAAUACGUUCCCGGGCCUUGUACACACCGCCCGUCACACCAUGGGAGUGGGUUGCAAAAGAAGUAGGUAGCUUAACCUUCGGGAGGGCGCUUACCACUUUGUGAUUCAUGACUGGGGUGAAGUCGUAACAAGGUA